GCCCGCCUAGCUCAAUCGGAUAGAGCGUCAGACUCUUACAAAGAGAGACGGAGCAACCGGGCAUCUGAAGGCUGCGAGUUCGACCCUCGCGGUGGGCU